CCUACGGGAGGCUGCAGUGAGGAAUAUUGGUCAAUGGACGAGAGUCUGAACCAGCCAAGUAGCGUGAAGGAUGACUGCCCUAUGGGUUGUAAACUUCUUUUAUAUGGGAAUAAAACGUUCCACGUGUGGGAUUUUGUAUGUACCAUCUGAAUAAGGAUCGGCUAACUCCGUGCCAGCAGCCGCGGUAAUACGGAGGAACCGAGCGUUAUCCGGAUUUAUUGGGUUUAAAGGGAGCGUAGGUGGAUUGUUAAGUCAGUUGUGAAAGUUUGCGGCUCAACCGUAAAAUUGCAGUUGAAACUGGCAGUCUUGAGUACAGUAGAGGUGGGCGGAAUUCGUGGUGUAGCGGUGAAAUGCUUAGAUAUCACGAAGAACUCCGAUUGCGAAGGCAGUUCACUGGACUGCAACUGACACUGAGGCUCGAAAGUGUGGGUAUCAAACAGGAUUAGAUACCCUUGUAGUC
rnacentral:rRNA from 1 species